CGGAGGAAAAGAAACUAACAAGGAUUCCCCUAGUAACGGCGAGUGAAGCGGGAAAAGCUCAAAUUUGAAAUCUGGCAGCCUCAGGUUGUCCGAGUUGUAAUCUAUAGAAACGUUUUCCGCGCCGGCCCAUGUACAAGUCCCUUGGAACAGGGCGUCAUAGAGGGUGAGAAUCCCGUCCUUGACACGGACCACCGGUGCUUUGUGAUACGUUUUCAACGAGUCGAGUUGUUUGGGAAUGCAGCUCAAAAUGGGUGGUAAAUUCCAUCUAAAGCUAAAUAUUGGCGAGAGACCGAUAGCGAACAAGUACCGUGAGGGAAAGAUGAAAAGCACUUUGGAAAGAGAGUUAAACAGUAUGUGAAAUUGUUGAAAGGGAAACGAUUGAAGUCAGUCGUGUCUAUUGGACUCAGCCGGUUCUGCCGGUGUACUUCCUUUAGAUGGGGUCAACAUCAGUUUUGAUCGCUGGAAAAGGGCGGGAGGAAUGUAGCACUCUCGGGUGAACUUAUAGCCUUCCGUCGUAUACAGUGGUUGGGACUGAGGAACGCAGCAUGCCUUUAUGGCCGGGGUUCGCCCACGUACAUGCUUAGGAUGUUGACAUAAUGGCUUUAAACGACCCGUCUUGA
rnacentral:rRNA from 1 species